AAUCGGACAUUGCGGACGAGUCGGUUCCGAAACGCAUCGAAAGACGCUACGCCAUCUCGGUCUCUCUCGGGUCAAAGUGUCUUCAAGGUUUCAAGUGUCGCAGAUUUUGCAAGAUGCCUGCGAUGAGGGAUCUUAGUGCCACAAAUAGAAGGAGAAGAUCCAUUGUGUGGGAUCACUUUAGAAGGAUUCCUUGUGCAGACAAGAGCAUUAGAGGUUGUGCCUAUCUUGACUAUAGCAUUAGAGGCCGCAUUUAGCUUAGGAGGUUGUGUCCUUAACUUGUUUCAUAGCUUCUUAACCCCAAGUAUGGUGGAUGAAAGCUUUUAUAUGUCCUCAAGAUUGGCUAUGAUCUGCACCACUUUCACUUUUGAUUGAGGAGGACUUUGAAGAAAUCAAUAGUUUUGAAGUUGUUAACUACAAACAUGGAAUUGAACCUGAUAUUGGAUUCUUUUGACGAUUGACAAAGUUGGAGAUUGGUACUGGUCAAACCAAUUUCUUAUAUUUAUUGUGAAUUUGCUUUCUCCAUAUUUUGUAUCAGGGGCUUAAUAACGCUGUAUCAGGGGCUCAGUAACGCCGUCUCCUUCAUUCCCUACUUGCAGGGUGACCUUAGUUGAGCAAGAAAGCCAAUGGUGUUUCUGGGUGUGCUCUGUUUCUGUUAGUAGUCCUUGGUGCAUGUCCAGAGUUUCUUUCUUUAUUCUUCUUUUUUGUUUUUUUUUAACCUUUCUAAAUUGACCAGGGACCAGACCAGAAUAUCAGACAACUAUCUUCUUGAAGACUCAUUCCUUGCUUCUGUUAUAGAUAGUUGGUAGUUGCAUGGAGAGAUGGAACCUAAUAGCAAGUUCUCUCAUGCACGGUAAUUUUUGUAGUGUAAUCUCGCAUGGACAGAGUACUUCGCAUUUUAUGUAUUGUUGUCUUCUUCAUUUCCUACUUAUAGGUCU